rnacentral:rRNA from 1 species
AGAAACUAUUUUCAGGGCGGUAGUUAUUUUUAUACCGUCCUUGUUGGUUAAGUGAUUAAUGAAGGUAGUAUCUUUAAAAAAUUAGCGUUAGCGGAGUGUGAAAAAGGUGUAAACCGAGAGGGAUGGAAUUUUUAGUUGGGGUAGCAUAUUUUUGAUAGUACCUUUUGCAUAAGGGCUUGAUUAGUGAGAACAUGUAAAAUUUGUUGCCCCGAAGUCGGAAGAACUACUAUUUAACCAGCCUUUGGGCUUUAGAGGUCAUAGUGGUAUUUAUGUCUUGAGAUUAUUUGGUAGAGGCGAAAUGUUUUUGCGCAUUCGACGGUAUCUGGUUGACCUAGAAAUAAAUUAAGUUUAGGGUUGCAGUAGUAGCAAUACUUAGUAUUUUUUGGAGAGCAGUGAAUAGUGUGAACGAUGUAAAGGAUAAUUCUAGUUUUGCUGUUUAUAUGUGGGCUCCCGGCGGCCAUCAUAAGAGCGGAAUCCCGCGCAGUCUCGGUUUUAAUUGGAUGUGAAUUAGUUUUAUCAGGAUCUUAAGUUGUAUGGGUCGAAAUAGCUGAAUGGAAAGGCUAUUGUCAUACGGUUGAGAUUAGUAAGUGGUAAGUAUGUUGUUAAUUUUUUUCUGUUUUGACGAAAGUAGCAUCAAGGAAAAGCUAAGCUAAGGAACUAGGCAAAAAAUAUUUAUCUUCCGUCUGUUUACUAAAAACACAGCUUCCAGAAAGGGAAUGGAGGUGUUGUCUGCCCGGUGGGUAGUCUUAACGGCGGCCUUAGCGUGAGGGUCUUAAGGUAGCAUGUAGUCUUCUGAAUAAAUGUCAGGUGGUAUGAAUGGGAGUACGAGGGGAGGUCUGUCUCGGCUUAGUUUCGGUGAAUUUGCCAUGGAGAUGAAAAGGUCUUCAUAGAGUAAAUAGACGAGAAGACCCCAUGAAUUUUCAGUCUGUAUUAUAGGGUUUUAUGCUUAUAAGGAAUGAAAGAGACUUUGGUUGGGGCAACCCAGGAGAACACAAACCUCCUGAGAUAUAUAUAAACUUACAGGUGUAGAACCGUUGUGAGUGGGUAUCGGAAAAAAUUACUCUGGGGAUAACAGCGUUAUCUUCCUGGAGAGGGCAUAUCGGUAGGAAGGAUUACGACCUCGAUGUUGAAUGUGGCUAUCCUUGAACUAGUAGGGGGUGCAAAGGGUUGGACUGUUCGUCCAUAAAAAAGCCAACCUGAUUUGAGUUAAGAACGGCGCGAGCUAGUUCGGAUUCUAUCUUUUAUUGAAAGUGAUAUCGUGUCGCUUUUUGUACGCAAGGACUAAAUCGGCUAACAUAAGUUUUUAGAUAUGAAAGCUGUAAGGGGAAAGAGUAUUAAAAUGA